rnacentral:rRNA from 1 species
GAUGAACGCUGGCGGCGUGCUUAACACAUGCAAGUCGAACGGAAAGGCCCAAGCUUGCUUGGGUACUCGAGUGCCGACGGGGUGGGAACCCCGUGGGGAAUCUCCCCUCCACUUCGGGUUAAGCCGGGGAAACUGGGUCUAUUACCGGAUAGGCCGAGGUUUGGGUUGCAUUUUUGAAAAGUUUUUUCGGUGUGGGUUGAGCUCGCGGCCUAUCAGCUUGUUGGUGGGGUAUUGGCCUACCAAGGCGUCGACGGGUAGCCGGCCUGAGAGGGUGUACGGCCACAUUGGGACUGAGAUACGGCCCAGACUCCUACGGGAGGCAGCAGUGGGGAAUAUUGCACAAUGGGCGCAAGCCUGAUGCAGCGACGCCGCGUGGGGGAUGACGGCCUUCGGGUUGUAAACUCCUUUCGCUAGGGACGAAGCGUUUUUGUGACGGUACCUGGAGAAGAAGCACCGGCUAACUACGUG